CGAGGCUUCUUCUUACAACCUCACCGAUGCUCUGGGAAACUAAGCUGCUUGGAACAUUAACUACACGGACGCCUUCUGCCUUUCGUUUUUGGGCCGGCUGGAACUUUUGCUAACUUGGAAUACCCGCUGGGACGAACAAUUUCCUGUUGGGGAACACUCGUUCAACAUUGUUACCCACCUCAGUGUAGGCAAACACGAAGGAAGCCUGAAUGCGCCUGCUUGUAAUUAUCCUCACAGGAGGCUGAGGAAUGGAGAGAAAUAUGUCGCCUGCAAAGUGAUUCACCCAUCAACCCCCACAACCACGAUCCCCACGACGACAUUUCCCCACAGAAUCAACGCAGAUUACGACUGCCGCCGAAAAGUGCAGGCCAUGUAUCAGAAUCAGCUGGAGGAUGUGCCUGGGGUGAUGGAAGUCUGGGCCUUCCUGCUCAAGCUGCUGCGCCCGCAACCUGACCUCGGAUGAGCGGAGGUGAAGGGAUGGCUGGAUGGACAGACAGACAGAUGCUUUAACAAUGAUGGGCUUCUGCUGAGCGAGCAACAGUUGAAAUUUAGACAUCAAGGUGUCGCUGGGAAUUCUUUGAUGGAAGAGGAAGAGAAUGCGUGCUAGCAGAGGAAGCCGCUGAUCCUCACAAAGGUAGCGGGAGUGCUGGAUCCAAUCUCAGCUGCCAUUGGGCAGGAGCGAGGGUACAGCUGAGGAUAAAGUCCAUCACAAAGCCCUGAUCUGAAUCCCAUUGAAAAUUUGUGAGGAAGAUCUGAAAAGGCAUGUCCGAGCAAAGCAACCGACCAAGCUCACCCAGCUAGUCUGAUGUGACUUUAGACAGUGAGACAAAAAAAUGAAGUGCGUUAUUGCACUGUAUGUAAACGAAUUCAACUGUAUUUUGGUUUCAGACUCCUGAAUUGCUUUAAUUUUUUGCCGUAACACAUGCAAAAGUUCCAGAGAAGACUUUGUUGUCUUUGAUGGUUAUCCAAUCACAAUAAUGGUUGUGUCUGUCCUGGAAAUUGGUCAGCAGUCCUGGCUCUUGUUCCCCAGUGCAGAGAUAUGGAAAAUUUAACCGUGGAUGUACUUUAAUACCCAUCAUGCAAGACAAUAAAAAUACUGAUGCCAAUGUGAUGACUCGUUAACGUGAGGCUGAAGCAUCACAUUGUUGUUUACUCAAAGAGGGGGACUACGUCAGAGGUGAGGUAACACCCCCCGGUGCUCAAAGCUGUCAGCGUCCUCCUGAUCUCAUUUACAAGAUUGAUUCUGUGUGAUGCCUAAAAUCCAGACACAGAGUGAGACUUUGUCCAGCCUCAUUUGGUUCGCAGCAUUUUCGCAGCGUCGGUUUUCACCCUGCCAAAAAGGAUGACGGCUUGGAAACUGAAGAGUGCCCUCACAGCUUGACACUAGAACUGCAGUGACGUAAAGCUUGUUGUUGUGGCUUUCGGGUUUCCCCCAUCAUGGGUAUCAUAGUGGGUCAUAAUUGUAAUUCGUCUUUGAUGUUUGGAAAAAUGGACCCUAUGUUCAUUGCAGACUGAUCUGUGGUUAAUCUUUACAAAUGUUUCUGUAUUUUGAUACUUGGUGUAAAAAUCUGAGAACGUACGUAAAUCAAUAUUUUGGUCAAUAAUCCCAUACACAACUAAGAUUAACACGUUUAACGUGAUACUAUCAUAAUUUAAUUCAAACUACUUUGAAUUGUUUCUGAAGCAAACUCACGACUAUUCUUUGGUCUAAAACAGGGGUCAGGAAGCUAUGGCUCGUGAGCCACACCUGGCUCUUUUGGCGGUUGCGUAUGGCCCGCAGAGCUCACAUAACAACAUACUGUAUACACAGCAGGGGUGCUCAAUGUCGUGACUGCGUGGCCCAAAAAUAACAACAACAAGGGGCAAUUUAGAGUAAUUAAUUAAUGUCGCAUGUUUUUGGGAUGUGGGAGUAAACCGGAGUGCCCGCAGCAAACCCAAGCAGGCACAGGGAGAACAUGCAAACUCCACACAGGCGGGUCAGAAUUGAACCCGGGUCCUCAGAACUGUGAGGCUAACGCUUUACCAGCUUCUCCACCGCGCUGCCAGCAACAGUAUAAUGUUAUUUAAAUUAAUUUAGAGACUUAUUGUACUCUUAACGUGUUGGUCUUAAAAUGCACAAAUUCACUUGUAUUUAGUUUUAAAAAUAUUGCAUGGCUCUUUUGGAAUAACAUUUGAAAAUAUUUGCCGUUUAUGGCUCUCUCAGCCUCAAAGGUUCCCGACCCCUGGUCUGAAAGAAGUGACUCGGAAUAUAAUUUUUGCGCUCGAGGCAACUUGAAAUUGCAAAAUAAAACUUAAACAGGUGAAGGGUGAAAAUACUCGUGGGAUGAAUCCUGGUAGUUGGCCAACUGAAAGAGUUCAACAUACAAUUCAGUAAUCCUGCUCUUGUAGUGUCCACAUCAGAUUGAGCCGUUUUAAUAACGGAGGGGACGGGGACAAAAUCGAUUUGAUUUGGGAUAGGUGGAAAAGUGACUACAAAAUCGGGAUCAUUCAGAUCCAAUUACUUGUUUGGAAAUAUUGGCCACAGAAGUCAAAAGUUUGACAGCGUCAGCAGGGUUUGUUUUCUAUCAUAUUUCAAAACCUAUUUUGGACACUCCAGUUUCUCCUAAAAUGGCACCAAGUUAUCAACUUACAACUACAGACUGAUCCGAACAUAUUUGGCAGGGCAGGGACCCGAAAAAAGUCUGGACGGAGCUGCUUGCAUGAUGAUUUGGAUCGAAUACUGAAACUACCGCCCAUCUUGCCACCGUCCAACUAGACAAGUGAGGAUCAGGGCUACAAAAAAAUGAAUGGAUGGAUGGAUGGUUAACAUUUUUAUUUUAUCUACAUUCUCUUCUUAUUUAUGUUAGCUUAAAAAGGCUUAUUUUUCUUUGAUGUCCACAAACAUACAUUAGGUUGAACCCUGUGGUCAAUGUAAUAUGAUCAUUUUUAUGGUUUAGCAGAUAACGAAAACAAAAAAUAUUUGCCUGUGUAGUUUAUUUCUCAAAGCAGGCUUACUCUUUUUUCCGCCUCAAUUUCUACGAAAUAAAAGGUGUGAAUUGAAGACGAUGGAAUGCGCCAAGGGGCCGACUCUUAUCUGUGACCUUUUCUCAAGGCCUCCGCUCACAGAUUGUAUCGACUCUAUGGGUCUUAAAUUUCAGAUGGAAUUGUCUCAAUACUGUCUCUGCCUUUAUCGCAUAUAUAUAUAUAUAUAUAUUUCUAUAUACUCACACACAAACAAAACGCAUCUCAUUUUUUUGUCUCACUGUCCGAAGUGACACCGAUCUGUCAGGAAGAAUGGGCCAGGAUUCCGGCAGAGAACUGUCGGAAGCUUGUGGAAGGUUACCAAAAACGUUCGACCCAAAUCAUACAGUUCAAAGGAAAUGCUACGAUACUAAGGAAAAUUUGUAAACUUUUGACCUAGAAGAAAAUAGUAUAGCAUUCUCCAAGAAAUUCUCUCUCUCAUUAUUGUGGCAUUGAACAUAAUUAAAUAAUUUUGGUGAUUCUGACUGACCUGAAACAGGAGAGGUUUAGUCUGAUUUGACUUCAGACAAUUAGACAAAAAUGAAAUGUUUGUUUUUGCACAGUGUAUGUAAAAUUCUGGCAUCUUGCACAACUGUGUCUCUUGUAAGGAAUAUCCAUCCAUCCAUUUUCUUAGUUGCCUAUCCUCACAAGGGUCGCAGGAGUGCCGGAGCCUAUCCCAGCUGUCAACGGGCAGGAGGCGGGGUACACCCUGGACUGGUUGCCAGCCCAUCGCAGGGCACAUAGAGACAAACAGUUGCACUCACAAUCACACCUAGGGGCAAUUUAGAGUGUCCAAUUCAUCUUGCAUGUGUAUGGGAUGUGGGAGGAAACCAGAGUUCCCGGAGAAAACCCACAAAUGCAAACUCCACACAGGUGGGGCCCGGAUUGAACCCGGGUACUCAGAACUGUGACGAACGUUUUCCAGCUACGCCAUCUUUAUAUUGGAAACAAAAAAAAUAUAUCCUGUAAAAGGGGAAAAAAACCAACUUGUAAACAAAAAAGCAAGCACUAAAUGUGAAAAAAAAACAUCCUGUAAACAAAAAACUAUAUAAACAAAGAAAAAAGCAACAAGGAUUUCCCUCAAUGCGGGUAAUGAUAACCAACAUUAAGCAUC